AGUGGGGAUGAUCAGGGACGCCACAUCGAGGUUUCUUCAUCCACCUGGGCAGAGAGAAGGCACACAAGCACACACAGACACACACACACACUGUGGUUACUGAGCACUCUAAGACAGCACUGCCCAGUCCCUAGCCCCAUAAACAGCAAUACAGUCUCAGCUUAGAUUCUGGGACCCCAGCUCUGCGUGCCUCCAGCAGGAAUUCGAUAGACUGACUGAUGGAUGAAUUCAUUCACUCCCAAGGAGAAACACUUGAGUUUAAGAAAUCCUUAAGAGACUGGGAGUCAGCAGACAGUUGUAAGUUCUAAUCCCACCAAGGGAGGAGCUCAGGCAAGAGGUCAAAUCAACGUGAACCUCAGUUUUCUCGUGGGCAUCAUAACUGCAAUAAAAUCCUAACCCCCAGCUCAGUUCCACGUGGUCUAGCCCUUGCCCAUGUGUUCAGCACAUUACCCCAUCUCCCUCCAGUACUACACCCAGCCACAGUGGCGCCUUGCCUGUCUCCGAAUAUGGUAACCAACCAUUCUUACUCUAGAGUCUUUGCGCUUGCUGUCUGCUUUGCUUCUGACACUCUGUCUUUUUGUGGUUUGUUCCUUUAUGUCAUUAAGGUCCCUGCCCUUCACACAGAGCUCCCCUGAAGGACCGGUCCACAGCAACCUGACCCUAACGCUGCCUAUCUUGCUUAAGGUUUCCUUAUAACGAUGAUCACUCCUCGAAAUGUCAAGGCACACCAGGGAAGAAGUCUGGGACAUCACUGGGGAUUCGAGAAGGGUCCAGUAGCACACUCUGGAAAGAGAAGCAGGAGCCGUCUCUGUUACCGCAAGGCCGAGUGGGACCGAGUGAGAUGAUAGCAGAACUCUAUGGCAGGAGACAGACCCCGUGGAAGGCUUCGAGAACCCAAGGUCACAAAGCUAAGGUGGAGCCCUCUGAAUUCUAUCCAUCCCACUCCAGUUUUGGACCAAGUGUGAGUAGCCUUUUCCUGCUGUGUGUCCAGAACGCUGGUCCCAACUUCCUAAAAGAGGUUCGUGCAGAGAUGCCGGCAGGUGACGCUACCUCUUUCCUCAGCUCCUUUCCCUUUGUCUCUUUCCCCAUCCCCCUGCCAUGGUUUGAACCCUGUCCAGCAGGCCUGGGGCUUUCUGGAACAGAGUGAAAUCCAAGGCCAGGUGGUGCCUCAGCAGAAACACCAGUACUCCUGGCCCAGGAUGCACUGCCACGAAGCCUUCACAAAUGCCUCAAAAUAACAGCAGCCUAGGGAGGAGGCUGGAAUCUAUAAGCCACUCACCGGUGAGGCCAAGGACCAAGGGUUCCGCUCACAGCCUCUGAGGAGCCUUCAUGAGCACCGUCUUAGAAUUUUACAAUCUUUCAGAGAAGGAAGGGCCAGGAGAUGUUUGGAGAGAAUUACAGAUCAUCAAGUUUUAAGAGUUUUGCAGCUUGGGAUAAUGGACUCAAGGGUUUGAUAGCCAAACACAACAUUCUCCUUUGCAAACAAACAGGCUGGGCCCGCCAGAGAUGACAGAGUGACUUGUCUGCCGGGCAAACUGAUUCUCCAGUCACAAUUCUGUGCCUUCCCAUUCUGUCUUCUGCCAGCUCUCCCGUGUCCUCAACCAGCUCCGCCAUCUGCUUCUGCCCUCUCCUGAGCUCCUAUCUCCCCCUUAGAAAAUUCACUUCUGCUCUUUCUAUGCCUUCCUGGCCUGAACAUCUCUUCUGAAGCAAUUUAAGUGACUCUCAUGAAUAUUUUCUUUUUAGUUUUUAAUGUUUUUACUCAUUUAUGCUUAUUAUUAUAUAAUAAUAUAAAAGUAUAUUAUUGUAUAUGUGUGCACAUACAAGAUCAGAGAACAACUUUUAUUUUAUUUUAUUUUAUUUUUGUUUUUCGAGACAGGAUUUCUUUGUAUAGCCCUGGCUGUCCUGGAACUCACUCUGUAGACCAGGCUGGCCUCAAACUCAGAAAUCCGCCUGCCUCUGCCUCCCAAGUGCUGGGAUUAAAGGCGUGCACCACCACUGCCAGGCCAGAGAACAAUUUUUAGGAGUUGGUUCCUUCCUUUCUCUGUAAGACCUAAGGGUUGAACUGAGGUUGUUACGUGUGUGGCAAGAACUUUUACCUGCUAGGCAGCCUAUGGGUAUUUCUUAAAAAAAAUAAAAAAUAAAAAAAUAAAAUGCCAGGCAUAGUGGUGCCAGA